UUUAAUAAGCUUGUUUCUAUUAUCUCCUGCAGAAUUAUUAUACUUGCUAAUUCAUAGUUGGCCAUUUAUAAUCCUAAUACGUAUGAACACUCAACACCAAUUAGAACAAAUCAAUCAAUUAUAUCAUGUUAAAAUAUAUAAAAUAUUAUAUCAUGCGUGUAUCAUGUUAUUAAAAUAACAAUGUUCCAUUAACCGGUAUCAUUUUUCAAAUUACUUCAAAUUAAAUUACUUUAGUUAAAAAGAGAUAUUGUAAACCUUGAAACAUGGUGAUUUAUUACGAAGUUGUGAAUUUAUUCAAACAACUCUUUGAAGAGUUUUUGUAUUUGACCAUUGAAGCCAUUAACGCAAAAUAAAAAUUCAUUUAACUCAGGUUCAUUAGCAAUAACAAAAUUGCAAAAUUAUAACUGACAAUAAAGAAAUCGAAUGAUCGUGACUAAUGAUGAUCUUGGCAAUGCACGACAGAGUUGAAGGUUGCAUAAAAUGAUCUUUCAUAUGGUAAUAACUAUAGUAUAAAUAACAAUGGCAAGACGCGGUUAGGUGACAAAUAUUUUGUAUCUUUUAUUCAUAUUUGUAUAUUUUAGGGUAUAACUAAAAAGUUUUAUUAAUACAGAAUUAGUUCUAUGUUCUGUUUAUUUUCUGCACUGAUUUUGUAAAAUACACUUUUAUAUAAUAUCUGUCUACGUUGACGAGGAAUUAUAGAGAAAGUGAGUAACUCACUUUUCCUUUUUAUUUUGUAUGCGAGAUUUUGUUGGAACGUCAUGAUCCUCUUGUUAUAAGUUUUACUUUCAGACAAAUGGUACGAUGCAACACGGCGUAGUCAUAGAAUCCAUGUGGCCAAUAGGCAACGAAAAUAGGCGAAUGUAGAAAGUAAAUUCACGACGGAGAAAUUCACGUCGAAAGGAUGGAUCAGGCAGCAUCACUAACUACCAACGACUGAUCGCUUUUCGAGCAUGUUCCGGUUAAUUUUUCCAUAAAAUGUAAACGAUCGGUUGAUGAUAUACACGUGUCGUACAUUGUUAAUUAUAUAUGUACAUAAAUACCUAGUUAGGUAAUAUUCUCA